UACCUUCGGCGGCCUACACAUGCAGUCGAGCGGUAACAGGGGUAGCUUGCUACCCGCUGACGAGCGGCGGACGGGUGAGUAAUGCAUAGGAAUCUGCCCGAUAGUGGGGGAUAACCUGGGGAAACCCAGGCUAAUACCGCAUACGUCCUACGGGAGAAAGGGGGCUCCGGCUCCCGCUAUUGGAUGAGCCUAUGUCGGAUUAGCUAGUUGGUGAGGUAAAGGCUCACCAAGGCGACGAUCCGUAGCUGGUCUGAGAGGAUGAUCAGCCACAUCGGGACUGAGACACGGCCCGAACUCCUACGGGAGGCAGCAGUGGGGAAUAUUGGACAAUGGGCGAAAGCCUGAUCCAGCCAUGCCGCGUGUGUGAAGAAGGCCCUCGGGUUGUAAAGCACUUUCAGCGAGGAAGAACGCCUAGUGGUUAAUACCCAUUAGGAAAGACAUCACUCGCAGAAGAAGCACCGGCUAACUCCGUGCCAGCAGCCGCGGUAAUACGGAGGGUGCAAGCGUUAAUCGGAAUUACUGGGCGUAAAGCGCGCGUAGGUGGCUUGAUAAGCCGGGUUGUGAAAGCCCCGGGCUCAACCUGGGAACGGCAUCCGGGAACUGUCAAGCUAGAGUGCAGGAGAGGAAGGUAGAAAUUCCCGGUGUAGCGGUGAAAUGCGUAGAGAUCGGGGAGGAAUACCAGUGGCGAAGGCGGCCUUCUGGACUGAACACUGAAACUGAGGUGGCGAAAGCGGUGGGUAGCAAACAGAUUAAGAAUAACCCUGGUAGUCCACCGCCGUAAACGAUGUCGACAGCCGUGGGUGGCUAGCGCACUUGUGGGGGCGAAGUUAACGCGAUAAGUCGACCGCCUGGGGAGAUACGCCGCAAGUAAACUCAAUGGAAUGACGGGGCCCGCACAAGCGGUGGAGACACUUGUGGGGUUUAAUUCCAGUGCACCGGAGAAACUACCUACUCUUGACAUCUGCUCCUUGGGGAGAAUACACUGGGCCUCAGAACCGAGACCGGGCUGCUAUGUCUGCUCACGACCUGUGUGGUAAAGUGUGUUAUCCACAGCCACACUUUGUCUUAUGGCACGCUAG
rnacentral:rRNA from 1 species